UCCAACUUUACCCUCAAUCUUGCUGCC
rnacentral:sRNA from 1 species